UACGGGGGGGGCAAGCGUUGUUCGGAAUUACUGGGCGUAAAGGGCUCGUAGGCGGCCAACUAAGUCAGACGUGAAGUCCCUCGGCUUAACCGGGGAACUGCGUCUGAUACUGGAUGGCUAGAGUUUGGGAGAGGGAUGCGGAAUUCCAGGUGUAGCGGUGAAAUGCGUAGAUAUCUGGAGGAACACCGGUGGCGAAGGCGGCAUCCUGGACCAACACUGACGCUGAGGAGCGAAAGCCAGGGGAGCAAACGGG
rnacentral:rRNA from 1 species